CUACAGCUGCAUUCUGUGCUCUAAAGCUUGCUGAAAAGAAGUUCCCAUCCUCAACAAGUUUACACAUCCAGCUUCUAGGAAUGCAGAUUCUACAUGAGCGCGCACUUCAUCGAGGGCAUCUAAAAGUCGCGCAACAAAUCUGUGAUGAGUUUGGGGUGUUAUCAUCUUCUGUUUCUAGAGUAGACAUUGAGCUAAAGACAAAAUUUAGUGUACGGCGUGCUCGCACUCUCCUUGCCGCAAAACAGUUUAGCCAGGCCGCAGCUGUGGCC